ensembl:lncRNA
AAACUUUUUAGUCAUGUCUUUGAAACAAAGAACAGCUAACAUUUUAAAACAUUUGCUUUUCAGGCAGGAGCACUUUUAAGUUGGCAGUAAUACAGCUAAGCUCUGAACAAGGAGAAGGGGAGACGGACAGCUGCAGUAACUGAGUCCACACGAGCUGAGCUCAAAGGAACCUUCAUGUCCCUGUGCGUGUAUCCUUACAGCGCUCACAGAACUCCAGAUUCUCCGUGGUGCCUCAGGACUGCAAAUACUGCUGUUCUUGGGGUCAUCAGUUUAGAAGCUCUCUGAUUACAACCUGAUCACAGUCCUGUCUUGUUCUUGGCAAGGAGUGGUUCUGACAACAGGAGGUGACCUGUCACUUACAACUUUUAGCUGCGUGCUGAGAUUCAUUUGAAGCUGUUAUGUUAAUAAAUUGUAUACUCUUCUUUCCA